UGUUCCUAUUCUCUGUUCGUCCGCCUCUCCCAUCCGAUCCCCAUGACCGGUGACAAACAUGGCGGGCGCCGGAUCGACACAACCAUCAAGGCUCGACGUCCUCCCCUGCCUUAAUAUUCGACCACUCCUCUACCUCCCCUCUCUGCACCACCACGGCGAUGGUGAUGACGCAGCCGAUUGUUCCCAUCGGCUGGCGAUGGGUACGACGCUCCACUCCCCGUCUCCGACCUCUGCCGACGACCAGGCCCCUCCCCCUCUAGAAUCUUUUAGUGAUCAAGUUGCUGCACUUGCGAGUCAAAGUGUGCAAAAGAAUGGAUCAAAGGCCACCAUGGCAUCGACACAUUGACAUUGACGUUGCUCUCUCAUUUUCUCUCUUUCUAAAUCCCUCAAGCCAUCAGAGGAGCUCAAGUCGAAGCAGAGGCAGCUCAUGGACUACUGAACAAAGUCGGUGAGCACAGAAUUCCCCAAUGGUCAGUGGCAUCUCUAUCACGUCCAGUUCAUUUGUAACAUCCCAUAGUGAUUCUGGCGACUUGGAGGGGGAACAAUAUAUCACUAUCCACCGGUGACAUUCAUGUUCUGGUACUCUUUGUUGGUUCUAUCUUCGGAGCAUACACAUUGAGUUGUCUUGGAAGUAUAUAUCCUUUCCAAAAAGCAAAGUAAAAUUCAAGGACAGAAGAAUGUCAGUACAUUUUUUAAAAUGUGAACACCUGAGCUCAUUUGUUCAUUUGAGAAAUACUGGAGUUGAUUUACAGUGUAAUCGUUCUUGAGGUGUCCACUAGACGUGUGUAUGAAUGGUAAGUAUUUUUCUGUCUGCAGUUAUAACACAACACAACCACUUGGCUUCUUAGAAUCAUAGACAUCACAAAGCAACCAGUCUGCCUUUUCACAAUAGUUGAUGUCCAUUCUAAGAUUUACAAAGAUAUAUUUCCUUGAAAUAAAAAAAGUUAAUAUAUGGUAAUUUGAAACAAGUCCAUCAUAAAGAAAGCUCAACAACUAGCAGUCUUAUUUCCGAAGAUUGAAGAGAUGUUUAAAAAACUUUACUCAAUUUAACUUGUGCGUAUAUAACUCUUUCAAUUGUUCCUCCUAUUUUAUAUAGCAAUGCUCCUUGGUACUUCAAUAGAAAUAUUGUUUACGUGUUUGCUUCACCGAUAUUGGAAGGGUGUUGAGGCCAUGAUCAAGUUGGAAUUUAGUUUUACUUCAUGCGUUAUAUUUCCCAUUUCCAGUAGAGGAUCUCACUCCCAUUACCAAUGCAUAUUUAUUUUUUAACAUGGACAUGGAUCUACUAUAUUUCAUUUUGUCCUUUUUUUAAGUAAAAAUGUUUCCGGCCAAAAUGUCACCCCUACGGAUUUAUAACUAGAAUGGUUGUAACACAUAAACAAGACUUACCCUUCAAUAAAUUGGUUGUUUGGAAGCUACCUUUCAUGCAUAUUUAUUAUCAAAUUGCUUUAUUUUUUAUUUUUUAUUUUUUAUUUUAUUAUAGCUUGCACCAAAUGGCACCCCAAGUAGUUUGUUUAUUAAAUGAUUUCCUUCGGAUUUUGUUAUUUUCAAAGUUUCAGUUUGUUCCAGCUCAUGCCGGCUAGCACACCAACCAUUAUGAUGCAUCAAGUAUUUGAUUGAGAAAUUUGUGUCAUGUUUGUCAAUAUCAUAUGACCAUAUAUGUGUCCCAAAUACGUGUAUUGUCGCUUCAAAAUAAAUUGAAUGGCUGCGUUGUUAUUUUUGAAAUAAUAGAAAGAUGAAGUGCCUUUAUUACCUUCAUAUAUUUGUGGGAAUUACUAUCAAUCUCUUGGAAAAAAGGACGGGCGCAGCAACGCGUGCCAUCAAUGAUCUAGUAUCUCAUAUUUCUAACAUCCAUUGAGAAUAACCAACUUCCCGCACGCUUACUCUUUUACAUGAGUUUUUGUUUUUACAGACAUUAUUCGUGCGACACCUUCCAGGAUACGGCACAACGGAGACAAAGGCGCAGACGUGCAGCAGGGCCCCGCUCAAAGGUUUCUCUUUAGAUUAAGCCCAUGUGUAAACCUUCUUUACUGUCUUUUGUUGCUUGACAUUCUGUGGGUAUUCAAUACACCCACAGGGGAUAUUGGCGUUAUAGGCAUUUCGCCACGAUAGAUCAAUGCACGUAUCUGGAAAUACAGGGUUCAUAAUCAAGGGCGUUGCUCAGCCCAGUAUAUGUUAUAAAGUCCGAAUACCUUCGGUAGUAUAUGUUAUAUGUCAGAGGUCAGGAGCUUGCUAUCGUCGUACAUGAGCUACAAAACAAGGUGCCUCACCCUACUAACAAUAGUAACCAGAACUGCAACAGUUUGUUUGACAAAUAAUGAGACUAGCAAUUUUGUAAGUCGUCGCUCGAUCGAGACACAAAUUCCUCGUCCACUAGUUAGCCCACAAGUUUCCUCCUCCAUGCUCCAGCCAACAUCAUAUUCAUAGGGCAUCAGGAGAGUACGAUUCAACAUCUUGUGCUCGGUCCUGCAGGUCCUCUACGAGCUGGUGAGCUCCCAACUUUUAGAGUCUUAAGUAAACAUGAGUUCAGAAUCUGCUUGUCCUAGGAACAAUAUAUAGGAUGUGAUGUUUCAGGCAAUAUUAAGGUAAACAAGUAGGAAAAAGAAAAGCUUUGAUGUAGCAUAUUGCUAAAAUUGUUGAUAUCUCUCACCUUCAUUUGAAUGGUUAAAUAAUUUGAAAUCAACCAUUGAACAAUUAAUAAUGCAGGAAUCUAGGGCGAAACUGAAGCAACAAAAGGUUGGCCAUUGUUGUGUAAGUGUGGAUGCUUUCAAGAAACACAUACGUUAUUUCAUUAGCGUAGGUACCUACGCAUGCUCUUGAUGUCAAGGAUCUUCUCAUACUCUUCGAGAUCGGCAUCGUCAAUGCCAUCACCACUACCAAUGUAGUAGCAAUAUUCAACAUAGAAAUCGUCGUUGUAAUCAUAGGAAAGCCAAUCACCUCCGCUGUCGAGGUCAUAAUAAAUAAAACGAAUCAUGUACUCAUAGUCAACGAUUCGGUCACUGGAGAACUCAUGGGUAUCCAUAUUGAUCUGGGCAAGCUUCACUUGUAGGUUGUCAUCCAUGGCAUCCAAGUCAACAAGGCUGCACUCUCGCAUGUUAAGGUACUCUAGGUCGUGGCACUUAUCAAGGAUGGUUGCUAGCUCUUCAUUGUCGAGCUUAAGGCGGACAAGAUGCAAGGAGCGUAGCUUGUGCAUCCUUGCAACCAUAGAUGCUACCCGGGCGAGUAUUUAACCAAAAACUACCACAGUUGCCGGAAACGUGACAGAAAACUACCACUCUACGUUUUUGUGCGAAAAACUACCAAAUUUUUCCUAAGCCGUGGCAAAAAACUACCAACUCGCGUAAUCGCUCGCUUUGCCCGCGCUAACCCCUAUUCUGACCGGUUGGGCCCGCCAACAGUUGCCACACGGGCUAACUGACGCCCGACGCGCGCGGACGGCCGUUAACGGCCCGUCCCCUGUCACUGCGGGUCAAGAUCUGACCCUUUCCCCUCUCGCUGCACUCUCUCCGUCCUCUCCCUCUCUCUGA